CAGUUUGAUUUCCAAACAUGUCAUUUUUUGGGGGUUAAAACUGCUUCACUGAAGAGGUUCGAGUCUCCCUCUUCCGAUCUCAAAUGAUCUGUACCAACAUGGUAAGAACAAAAGCCUCCAGACAAAAUCGACUAAACGUGGAUGAAGUCAAGAAAUAAUUAGCAACCAAGACGAUGCUCCAGACCGUCAGGCUAAAAUCAUCCCAGAGGCCAACCAGAGACACGACAGUGAAACCCAGCACCAUUUUCUGUCAUUACCCGGGGACUUCAUGAACAGAAAAAUGAAGGAGGAACACAUGUUGAGGUAUCACCAAGACACCGACUGGCCCCUGACUGGGAAAUCAAUCUCAACUGAAACUUCUCAAAGAGGGUUUCAAUUUCAGAACCGCAGCUGGGGGAACAGAUGAGUGAGGAGCGGGAGGCUGGUCUCAGGAGCAGAUAUUCAGAGGGAGCAUCUCCACAGAUCCAGAGGCGUGGCUAAUUAAAAACAAGCCCAAGCUAGCAUCUGAGCAUUCAUAUAUGAGGUGUGAUUGCAGAAAUUAAAUUAUCAUAAUUGACAAACACCAGAUAUGUCAAACUCAGUUACUUUUAAUAAAUGUAUAAAUCCAUAAGGUAAAAGUAAGUGAGAAGGAAGUGCAAACAAACAUACGCAGGGGAAAAAUGAUUUUAUUCUAUGAUUUAUGUGCUACAAAGUCCAUAAACACUUUGGAUCUGCUUAUUCCUGGAGUCUAUCCAAUUGAGAUCAUUUGUAUAUUUCAAAACUCAAUGAAAAUGUCAAUUUGAUGUUUUUAACAUGUGCUUGAGGUAUUUUUCUGAUGAUGGAGGACAUUUAUAAAGAAAAUUAAGCUGAAAA